UAAAAAAAUUAAUAAAAUAAGUAGAAAAGAAUGAAAGUAGUGCUUGAUACAUUAUUAUGAUUUUUUAUUUAUUGAUUAUUCUUAGAAAAUUCAUUUAAGAGUGAUAUUAAUGGAGAAUUUAACACAACAAAAGACUUUUGAUUUUUUCUCAAUUAUUUUUGCUAGUUUUUUUAAUUUAACUAAUGUAUAAUAACACAUGUCAUUUUCUUGUAUGAUAAUGUGUCACUCAUAUGGAGAGUAUUGGCCAACUUUCAUAUAUAUGAUUUAGAAACUCACUCAAAACUAAAUCUCUCUAGGUCUUUAGAACAACUCUCUAAAGCCUCUUAAUCUCUCUCUUGUGUCUUAUGGAACAUCUCUCCAUAAGCGCUUAUUU
rnacentral:sRNA from 1 species